GCCACUCUGAGAAGGAAGGGUUUAUUCUGGCCUAUAGUCUGAGGGUGCAGUUUGUCAUGGUGGCUGGAGCUUGAAGCUGCUGGUCACUGUAUCUGCAGUCAGGAAGAAGAGAGAAGAUUCGGGGACACCUUGCUUUCUUUUGUGUGUAGCUGUGGACGCCAUCACAUGGGACCACACUACCUGAAGGCAUGUUCAGCCAUGAAGUCUGCAGUGUAUCACUUGCCUGACAUUGAUCUUCUGAUGCACAUUGACCUCCGGCACACUAGCUCCUGUUUCCCAAUUUGCCAGCAUCAUGUGCCCCGGGAUCAGCACGCUCUGAUCUAGGUUUGCUUCACCAUGCCUGACUUCCCGCCUUACCCAUGUGUACAUUCCUGUGACUCACGUGAGGGCCACCUCUCUUUCUAACUCAUCUCCCAGGAUAUUGUUCUAGAAUCACAGCAGGCCCUCACAGUACAAGGUACACCAUGAAAAAAAAAAACCACUAAGCUGGAGUUGGAGUGUAAGUGUAUAUAGGCUUUCUAUUGGCUAGUUAAAUUCAUUUAACUAUCAUCAUAAGCCAUUUGACCUCUGUAAGUCUGUUUCUUCAUCUGCAAAAUGGGAAUAACAAUGAUACUAGCUUGGUUCGCCUUCAAAGCAAUACCCACUGCAGUGAUGUCAGGUGUGUAUGCUCUGCGCUUUGAUUUAUAGUCGUUCUUUGGCAAAAUGUCUGUUCCAACAUUUUUCUCAUUAAAAGUGAUUGGACUGGGGCAUGAGGAUGGGAUGGUACAGGAGGGGGAACACAAGUCUUUCUCUCUCUCUCUGAUUAUCGCCAUUAUCUCUUCCUGGAGCACGGGGCGUGGGGGUGGAGGUUCCAGCUUCUCACUGUACCAUGGUCUUUGGGCGAUCAGCUCCUGUGUCGCAGCACCUCCCCCCAGCAAGAGAACAACAACAAGAAAAAACCCCUUUUAUUAUCCCGGAAGUGCUGGAGGAUCAGACAUUCUGUGCUGGCACCAGGGUUUAACAUGAGAACAAGAGCAAUCAUUCCUAUUGCUUAAGGAUUUGAAGAUUUCUGGGCCAGGAAGUAGCAAUUGAGAGGCCCAUUGGAUACGCAAGCUGUAUAUGCCCCAGUAC
rnacentral:lncRNA from 1 species